UCUCGAACGUGACGGUCGUGCGUUGUUCUUCGACUUUUGACGUGUGUUGGAUUGCGUUACGAAAAAUUUAGAAAAUCAACGAUGUUUUUGCAUCGCGAAAACAACACGCAAGAAAUAUCCAGAUUGCCUCGUCAACAAACUAUUGCCAUUCCGGUAUCCAUUUACUUAUUUAACUUCAUACUUCAGACAUAAACUUAUCGGAAUGAUAGUAGACAGAUUAGAAUCAAAUAUAUAUAUAAGAAAUACACAUUUCAUAACCUAUUCAGGAUUAAUCCAAAAUAAUUACAACAUAGCAAGACAUGGCAAUUUAAGGUAUAGCAUAUUAAUACCUAAUAUAACAUAUUAAGAAUAACAGUAAGAAAGAAAU